rnacentral:tRNA from 11 species
GCCUCGGUAGCUCAGCCUGGUAGAGCGCCUCCAUGGUAAGGAGGAGGUCGCGGGUUCAAACCCCGCCCGAGGCU